CCGCCCCGGGGUCGCGGCGGCCGGGCCUCCCGCUGCAGCCCCUUCUCGCGGCUGCGCCGCCGCCUCCGUCUCACUCUCCCCACCCAGCGUAGUGGCCGCCGCCUCUUCCGCCGCCGGGCUCGGGGCCUCAGCAUCGACAACAUGGAGGCUGUGAAGACCUUCAAUAGCGAGGAUUGUGCGUCUACUCCUGCUUGUACAGACUGCUUUUCCAGCAGCAUGGACACAAGAAGCAUAUUGUAUUCCCUGAAUGACUACAAACCACCAAUUUCUAAAGCGAAAAUGACCCAAAUUACUAAGGCAGCCAUCAAAGCUAUUAAGUUCUAUAAACAUGUGGUACAGAGUGUUGAGAAAUUCAUUCAGAAAUGUAAACCAGAAUACAAGGUACCUGGACUUUAUGUUAUUGACUCCAUUGUACGACAAUCUCGACAUCAGUUUGGUCAAGAAAAGGAUGUCUUUGCACCCAGAUUUAGUAAUAACAUCAUUAGCACUUUCCAGAAUUUAUAUCGUUGCCCUGGGGAUGACAAGAGUAAAAUAGUGAGAGUGUUAAACUUAUGGCAGAAGAAUAAUGUAUUUAAGAGUGAGAUUAUUCAGCCUCUUCUGGAUAUGGCAGCGGGGAUUCCCCCUCCAGCUGUCACGCCCGUUCUGGCCAGCACCACUGCUGCCAUGAGCAACACCCCAGGAACUCCUGUGACACCUGUUACUCCAGCCAAUGUGGUCCAAGGUUUACCUGACCCGUGGGUAUCUCAGAUAGCAAACACGGAUACGCUUACGGCUGUAGCUCAGAUCUUGCAAAGUCCUCAAGGCCAGCAGUUUCAGCAGUUAAUACAGACUUUACAGAUACAGCAGCAGAAGCCUCAGCCUUCCAUUCUACAGGCCCUGGACGCUGGCCUCGUGGUUCAGUUGCAGGCUCUUACGGCACAGCUGACGGCGGCGGCGGCAGCAGCUAGCACCCUCAAUCCCUUAGAACAGGGAGUGCCCUUUAACAAGAAGUUGAUGGAUAGAUUUGAUUUUGGGGAAGAUUCUGAGCAUAGUGAAGAACCCAAAAAGGAAAUUCCAACUUCUCAACUUUCUCAUGUUUCAGAAUCUGUGAACAGUUCCAUUUUUCAUCAGAUAGCAGAACAGCUACAGCAGCAAAACCUUGAACAUCUCCGACAGCAACUCCUGGAACAGCAACAGCCUCAAAAGGCAACCCCUCAGGAUAGUCAAGAAGGGACAUUCGGAUCAGAGCAUUCGGCGUCACCAUCACAAGGGAGCAGUCAACAGCAUUUCCUUGAACCUGAAGCAAAUUUGGAUGAUUCCAUAGAUAUUCAGCAACAGGACAUGGAUAUAGAUGAAGGGCAAGAUGGAGUGGAAGAGGAAAUCUUCGAACAAGAAGCAAAGAAAGUGGCUGUUCGCUCUAGAUCAAGAACACAUUCACGAUCUCGUUCAAGAUCACCAAGAAAACGAAGGUCCAGGUCACGAUCUGGUUCUCGGAAGCGUAAGCACAGAAAGCGAUCGCGCUCGCGCUCCAGGGAAAGGAAAAGGAAGUCAUCUCGCUCGUACUCCAGCGAGAGAAGAGCUAGAGAAAGGGAGAAGGAACGGCAGAAGAAGGGGUUACCGCCCAUCCGGUCCAAAACAUUAAGCGUAUGUAGUACUACUCUCUGGGUUGGUCAGGUGGACAAGAAGGCGACACAGCAGGAUUUAACCAACCUGUUUGAAGAGUUUGGACAAAUUGAAUCCAUUAAUAUGAUUCCUCCCAGGGGCUGUGCUUAUGUCUGCAUGGUUCAUCGACAGGAUGCGUUUCGGGCUCUGCAGAAACUUAGUUCUGGAUCGUAUAAAAUCGGGUCCAAGGUCAUUAAGAUUGCUUGGGCUUUAAACAAAGGUGUAAAAACAGAAUACAAGCAAUUCUGGGAUGUGGAUCUUGGAGUUACAUAUAUACCAUGGGAAAAAGUUAAAGUGGAUGACUUGGAAGGUUUUGCAGAAGGAGGCAUGAUCGAUCAGGAAACUGUAAAUACUGAGUGGGAAACUGUGAAAAGCUCAGAGCCUGUCAAAGAGACGGCCCCGACAACUCAGAGCCCAGCUCCCGUUGACAAGGAGACAGUGGUCACAACCCAGGCAGAAGCUUUUCCUCCACCCGUUGCUAUGUUACAGAUUCCAGUAGCACCAGCCGUGCCUACAGUUAGCUUAGUCCCACCAGCAUUUCCUGUGUCAAUGCCGGUCCCUCCUCCUGGCUUCAGUCCAAUCCCGCCGCCUUUCCUCCGAGCAAGUUUCAACCCUUCACAACCACCGCCUGGUUUCAUGCCACCUCCAGUUCCACCACCUGUCGUGCCUCCACCUGCUAUUCCACCAGUAGUACCAUCGUUAGUGCAGCCACCGUUAUCCAUGACUCCGGAAACUGUGAAAGACGUUGGAUUUGGUGGCCUCGUUUUACCAGGGGGUUCUGUUGCUGGCAGCCUUGCAGCUGGAAAUGUUUUCAAUCCUCCAACCAAACAAGCGGAGCCUGAAGAAAAAGUACCUCAUCUUAUCGACCACCAGAUUUCUUCUGGCGAAAACACCAGAUCUGUGAUUCCAAACGAUAUUUCAAGUAGCUCUGCAAUUUUAGGAGGACAGCCGCCCAAUGUGACGAGCAAUUCUGGAAUUCUGGGAGUUCAAAGACCAAAUGUAUCGAGCAGUUCUGAGAUUCUUGGAGUCCGGCCUUCUAAUGUUUCCGGUAGUUCUGGAAUUAUUGGAGCCCAGCCACCAAAUAUUCUCAAUAACUCUGCAAUUUUGGGAAUACAGCCACCAGGUGUUUCGAGUAGUUCUGGACUCUUGGGAGUGCUGCCCCCAAACGUCCCCAGCAGUCCUGGACUUAUAGGAGUACAGCCACCAAACGUUCCGAAUGCAUCUGGACUUUUGGCAGCCCAGCCGCCAGCCGGGCCUCAGAACUUACCCCCUCUCGGUCUCUCUGGUCAAAGGCUGCCCGUUGUGCCAGUGUUAGACCUUCGUCCAGGACUAAUACCACAGGCACCGGGGCCACGAUUUCCCCUGUUGCAGCCCGGACUUCCGCCCCAGCGAGGGAUCCCUCCCCCGUCGGUGCUUGACGCAGCUCUUCAUCCACCACCCCGCGGUCCUUUUCCUCCAGGAGAUAUUUUUAGUCAGCCAGAAAGACCUUUUCUAGUUCCUGGAAGGCAAAGUAUAGACAAUAUCACUAAUCCCGAAAAAAGGAUACCACUUGGGAACGAGAACAUUCAACAGGAAGGAGACAGAGAUUACCGGUUUCCUCCCAUAGAAACCAGGGAGAGCAUGAGCAGGCCUCCCCCGGUGGACGUUAGGGACAUGGUCGGACGGCCCGUAGACCCAAGGGAAGGUCCUGGGAGGCCUCCGUUAGAUGGUAGGGAUCAUUUUGGAAGACCGCCUGUAGAUAUCAGAGAGAAUCUUGUGAGGCCAGGUAUAGAUCAUCUUGGUCGCAGAGACCACUUUGGCUUUAAUCCAGAGAAGCCUUGGGGGCCUAGAGAUUUCGAUGAGCGAGAGCAUCGGGUUCUGCCUGUCUUCGCUGGUCCAAAAGGCCUACAUGAAGAAAGAGGCAGAUUUCGGUCUGGAAACUAUCGGUUUGAUCCUAGAAGUGGUCCUUGGAACAGAGGAUUUGGACAAGAAGUUCACAGAGAUUUUGAUGACCGCAGAAGACCCUGGGAGAGGCAGAGGGAUAGGGAUGACAGAGAUUUUGAUUUCUGCAGAGAAAUUAAUGGAAAUCGUCUUGGACGAGAGAGAAUUCAAAACACCUGGGUCCCCCCUCCUCAUGCUCGGGUUUUUGAUUUCUUUGAAGGGGCCACUUCUCAACGAAAAGGUGACAGUGUGCCUCAGGUUAAUGGUGAAAAUACUGAGAGACAUGCUCAACCACCGCCCUUACCAGUACAGAAUGACCCUGAACUUUAUGAGAAACUGACAUCUUCAAGUGAAAUAAACAAGGAGAAGAGUGACACAGUUGCUGAUAUAGAAAGUGAACCAGUGGUAGAAAGCACAGAAACUGAGGGGACAUAAUCAUCACUCAGUAGAUGAUUGAGUGUCCAGGCACUGUGUUGGGUGCUAGAGAAUAAAUGCUGUCAUCCGUUUAGAAGCUCCGAGUGUCAUAGUAACAGAAGGCAGGAAAACAUGGACACCAGUGUGUACCCAGUGUUGCAUGUGACUCCAUGGGAUCCCGGUCUGGCGGCUAAGAGGGAUUCAUCCGAAAGGCUGCAUAAGGAAGGACAGAAUGAUGCAGACGAUCACGGAGCUUCUAAGUCUAGCAGGAUUGGAAGUCUUUCCUCUUCAGCUCUCUGGAUCAAGUUUAAGGAGUCCCCACGUUUGUACCUGCACGGGUGUCAGCUGCCUUACACACGUCGGCACAGCACAGAUGGAGAAGCCGUCCAACAUGAGACAGCAAGGAAGUCAUCAAUGCCAGCUCCCAGAGGAAAGAGGAAAAGAGGAAAAAGGAGAUUUUCAGAAGCCGGUUAUGUUAAGCAUGGUAACCGAGGAGCCUAAAGUGACAGAGGAAAAAAGAUAAGAGACUCCUGCCCUGGGGCGAGGCACUCGGUUGCCACAUCUGGCCUGCAGGGCGUUGCAGAAUGUCUGUGCACAGCGAGAUGGGGAAGCAGAUACUCCGCUCGUCCUUGUCCGGUGGGCAGCAUCGAAGUGCUUGCUGUGCUCCAGGUCCUGAGCCAGUUACGGUGAUGCCCCCUCACUUCCUGCCCUGUGGUCUGCUGUCUAUCGGGGAGGGGGCGACCGUGAGACAACGAAUAGUCACCAUCGUAUGGAAGCACAGAGCUGGUUCCACCCAGCAGACCCUGGAUGACCUUCAGCGUUCAUAGACAGAUGCCACGUGUGCCCGAAGUGCGAGAGGGUUACCAGGAGCUCGCUGCAGGCGUCUGGGCAGGGCUGAGGGCGAUGCUGGUGGGGAAGGAGAGAAACCCUCUCGGGGGUCACCAGGAGAAGACUGGAGGAUGAACGCUUGUAGGAGAGAAGCAGAGGAGACAUCAAAGGUGGCCCCAAGCAGCUUGGGACAUAGGGACGCUACUGACUGAGGCAGGAAGUGGGGCAGAGGAGGAGGAGGGAGCCUGGGGAGGCGGCACAGAGACAGGGUCAAUGCGGAGAAGGGCCGCCCCUCCCAGGAUGUGGGGAGUCAUUCUCUCUGGGAUCCCCCCGCUGCUAGUAAGUACUUUCUGUGGACUGAUGAAAUCAUGUGCCUUGGAAAUAAAAUAGGGGCCAAACGUAAAUUUCUGUGGUGGCAGCAGGUGGGGAAGAGACCGGGGUCAUCGGGCCCCGAGGCGGAGGACCGCCGGGCGCCUCUCAGACCUACUGCUUGUGCCUUUGCUUUCAGCAGCAGCUCGCGGACGUGUGGGCUGACAGCAGGUGUCCGCCCCUCUGUCUACCCCGCCCCUGGAGCGACGCUGGGGAGACACAAAAAUACCUCGGGAACUUUCUCAGGAUGGCUUGUUUCUCAUUACCUCGUCACCAGGAAGAGACGAUGGCUCUCUCCAUCACGCCCGGCCUUCUCCGGCAGAGUUUGAAGAAUGCGGGGAAGCAAAUCGUGCGAGCUCCUGAGAGGCGGCCACAAGACCCGUUUGUAUUUGGCCAGGUGUCCUUCCGACAGGAGAGCUUUCCUGAGAAAGGCUAUCCCCUAGAAAUCUCGACUUCCCCCGACCCCCUGGCCGAGUCGCCCGCCGGAGUCAGCGCUGUCUUUGCUAGCUUUCACUCGAUCCUGGAUGCCAGGAGGAAGGCUGCGUGAGCUUAGUGGCGUGAAGUAGUAGAGAAGCACUCAGUGGAAGCAGCCGUGGCUGGAAUCCUCGCUCUCGCCCACAGAGAGGCUGUACGGCUGCAUUUGAGCUCCGUGGAGAUAGGUAUUAAACACAGUCACUCUGGGCUGAUAUUGCCAUCGUGUACGUGUCUAACGUCAUUUCUGUAGCCCGUGGAGCCCAGGCUGAGGCAGAGAGCUUACACGGCAGGAAGAUUCUCUUCCUUCAGGUGCUUGGAAAGAGAGAAAAUAGUCAAAAGCCACAAUUUUAGAAAAGAAUCUUCCAAAAACGAGAAAGGGGUUUUAAGGAAACGCUUUUUCAGGUGGAUCUCAGGGAAGGGUGACUUGUUUGUUCUCGCCAUCGGCUCUGUGUCCUGCUACCAGGAAGCCCAGCAAAAUACUCCACAGAACGGGAAAGAUUUUGGAAACAGAACUCAACCCCACGGACGUCAGUAGCUUCUAUGUGCCAGAGAAUGUACUGAGUGCCUGGGGAUACCAAGAUGGACUGGACACGAUCCCUUCCCUUACUGAGCUUCGAUCUGGGUAAUUUUUAAAUGAAGAUUCUGCAUGAGAAUACGACAAAAUGGUGAUAUCUAGCUACUAUUAUUUUGAACUUUUUAGAAAAUAAUAGGGUAUUAUCGCCGAAUACUUUUGAUGGGUGCGAAGGGACCGGAUGGUGAAGGAAGUGGGUCUGCCUUUUUAAACCUUGACACUGUCCUUGUCUUUGCCCCAGGUGAAAAUUUCAGUUUAUCUUUGGGAGCCGCUUUGCUUUAAUUGGGCCUGUGGUUAUUCUCCAGGGAGGCCGGUCCUGCUCCGCAGUGAAGAUGACCCAGCGUAACUUUCUGAUUAUUCCCCACGUCCCUGGCUCUUCUGUUUCCUUUGCUGAUUCAACCCCACCUUUCGAGGGGUCUGUCUCUUCUUAUUCUACAGUCUUGACCUUGGGCAUUUCACCCAUGCCCAGGGCUUGUGCAUUCUUUCUAUAUCCCAGUUAUUUCUCAGUCUAUAUCUUCAGGUCCAAUCUCUGUUCCGAUACUAAGUUCACACAUUCUCCCCAUACUCUUCCAAAACGAAUCCUCUAGUCUAUCCUGGCUAGACUGGUGCUUAAAACCUUUUCAGAGGGUUCUCGUUGUUCUAAAGAUAAAAUCCAAAAUUCUUAACAUGCCAACGACAGCAUGCACGGCUGGCUCUCAUUUGCUUCUUGGGCUCAUCUCUUGUCACUCUGUCCCUACUCCUUGUCCUUUUGGAAGCGGCCCAGCUCUCUCCCACAUCGGACCCUCAAAUUGACCAUUCCCCUUACCUGGAAUGACCCAACUCGGUCAUCCUUCAGAGCCCAGCUCAAACGCUGCUUUCUCCAAGGGGCCCUCACUAGUUCCCGAGAGCGGUGUUAGCUCUCAUUAGCAUACUCUCUGCAUCUUUAGCAGAGACAUCAAAAGGCACUACAGUCACGUGCCACUUUAUGAUGGGGAUACGCUCUCAGAAACGCGUCGUUAGGCAAUGUUGUUGUGCGGGUAUCAUAGAGGUACUUACACACACCUCGAUGGUAUAGCGCCUACUACGCACCUGGGCUGCGUAGUAUAGCCUGUGGCUCCUGGGCUACAUACCUGGCCAGCAUGUUACUGUGCUGAAUCCUAUAGGCAAUUGUAACACAAUGGUAUUUGUGUGUCUAAACAUAUUUAAACAUAGAAAAGGUACAGGAAAAAUACAGUAUAAAAGAUAAAAAUGUACACCUGUAUAGGGCACUUACCAUCAAUAGAGCUUGCAGGAUUGGAAAUUGCAUAAACCAGUAACAUAGUCAUUUAUUAUGAUUAAAUGCUGAGGACUGCACGCACUCAUAUGUGCUGUACUUUUAUAUGACAGGCAGCACAGCCGGGUUGGUCAACACCAGCAUCACCACAAACACAUGAGUAAUGCUUAUGCAUUGUGCUAUAUUAAGGUGGCCGUGAUGUCACCAGGUGAGAAGAAUUUUUCAGCUCCAUUAUAAUCUCCUGGGACGACCAUCAUUGACAAAACGCGUAGCGCGUGACUACUUGUAAGAUCGUUUGCUUGCUAUCUACCUCCCUCAGAUUGUAAUAAUUACACAAAUUAUCUCCCUAGCGCCUAAUACAGUGCCAGGUGCUCAAAAGACACGUCCUAAGUGGAUUGGUGAAUGAGCGAGCUUAUGUAUCAGGGGCUAAAUUUCUCUUCCUAACAUAACAUGAAUGUUCAUCUUUACUGUAGACAGAGCUGCAUCUCUGCAGAUUAUUUUUUAAUGGAGCGGGACUCAGAUCGAGACAUUGCAGCCUGGGCUCCGUGCGGGGCACGUGCUGAUUCCCUGUAUGGGGCUCAGGCCAAGCAGAGAGGCACCCCGUAGGGACCCCUAUACACGGUUUCACAUUUGGGGGACUAUUGUUUGGUUUUAACUUUUCUUUUUCUUUCUGCAAGUCCUUUCUGUUCCCCCAAGCCCUCUGCGGAACUUUGCUGACCCUUACAGCUUGGUCACAGCGUGCAGGGAGGACUCAGGAGGGGUCUAGGCCUCCACUUGGGGCAAAGCUGUAAGGAGAACUUGCAGCAGAGGGAGUGGCAGUCGGGAACAAAAUGGCCGGCUGAGGGGACAAGAGCCAGCAGGGAGAGAUUUUUAGAAAUGAUAAUAUUCAUCUGGAAUGUGCAAGCAUGUUUUGGGAAGAAAAACUAGACAAUGCCUGGACUUUCUGAGGUUACAUAGUGUGCUGGUUACCAACUCACUGCCUGUCAGCUCCAAUUUACCCUUUUUGCCCCCGCUAAGAAUGGAUCUGGGCCUUUCGUAUAAUUUUCUUCGCCAGCUGGCUGUUGUUAAGCGGUAUCAGUAGAGGCUGUGGGGAAAACGCUGCAGGACAGAGUUCUGCGGGCUGUUGCCAUGCUCUGACUUGGCUGGUUUCUGCCUUUCGGGCGGCUUCUCCAGCACCAGGAUCCUACAGUGCAGCGCAGCCAGCAGCACCCAGUGGCCACGGGCUUCGCCCCAAACCUCCCUCUUACGGUGGUUUUGUGGUGAAGUGUUUCCUGAGACACCUCCCUGUGAACAGCUCUCCCCACACACUGUAGGGUAGAUUAUCAGCAAAUUUCCAGAGAGUGGAGUUCCAGCAAGUUCCACCAGAAGGACAGUACAAUGAAUUUUCUACCAUUGAUCGAGCCACGGACAUGCCCUCCCCAGCAGGGUGUGGGGCUCAGCCUGGGGGUGGGGGAGGCUCCUCCCUGGGCACUCUGUCUCAGCGCUAGGGCUAGUGGCUGCUUAAGACAUCCCUACAUUUGGGAUUCCUGUUUUCUUCUGAGUUCUUGUUACUUCUUACUAGGCGAUCCCUGGUUGCUCCAAAUCCCAUCAUAGUGAACAAUUCUUCAUAUUAAACUUUCACUGUU